CCCGUGUUCAUUUCCGUUACGUGAAAAGACUGGGCAUGACAACAGUGGGCAUGCCUGGGCAUGGCUUCACAUUUCCGGCUGGAGGUAUCGUUCCAGUUAUUUUUAGUUCAAUGGGUAUACCUUCCUAUAACCUGAAGUUCAGGCCCUAAUUUGAAAUAGGGCCUGACACAAAACCUGUCUAGACCGUGGGACGCCCACAUGUUAUUUUUAGACACACAUGCAAUAUGAUUGACAAGUGUUGUAGAUUUCGUUACACAAAAAAAUUAUAUUCUCA